rnacentral:rRNA from 1 species
UACAGAGGGUGCAAGCGUUAAUCGGAAUUACUGGGCGUAAAGCGUGCGUAGACGGUUAUGUAAGUCAGAUGUGAAAGCCCCGGGCUUAACCUGGGAAUGGCAUUUGAGACUGCAUAGCUAGGGUGCGGAAGAGGGAAGCGGAAUUUCCGGUGUAGCGGUGAAAUGCGUAGAUAUCGGAAGGAACACCAGUGGCGAAAGCGGCUUCCUGGACCGAUACUGACGCUGAGGAGCGAAAGCCAGGGGAGCAAAGCAGGGAUUAAGAAACCCG